rnacentral:rRNA from 1 species
CCUACGGGAGGCAGCAGUCGGGAAUUUUGGGCAAUGGGCGAAAGCCUGACCCAGCAACGCCGCGUGAAGGAUGAAGUAUUUCGGUAUGUAAACUUCGAAAGAAUAGGAAGAAUAAAUGACGGUACUAUUUAUAAGGUCCGGCUAACUACGUGCCAGCAGCCGCGGUAAUACGUAGGGACCAAGCGUUGUUCGGAUUUACUGGGCGUAAAGGGCGCGUAGGCGGCUUAACAAGUCACUUGUGAAAUCUCUGAGCUUAACUCAGAACGGCCAAGUGAAACUGUUAUGCUAGAGUGCAGAAGGGGCAAUCGGAAUUCUUGGUGUAGCGGUGAAAUGCGUAGAUAUCAAGAGGAACACCUGAGGUGAAGACGGGUUGCUGGGCUGACACUGACGCUGAGGCGCGAAAGCCAGGGGAGCAAACGGGAUUAGAUACCCCGGUAGUCCUGGCCCUAAACGAUGAAUACUUGGUGUCUGGAGUUUUAGUGCUCCGGGUGCCGUCGCUAACGUUUUUAGUAUUCCGCCUGGGGAGUACGCUCGCAAGAGUGAAACUCAAAUGAAUUGACGG